rnacentral:rRNA from 1 species
AAUAUUGCACAAUGGGCGAAAGCCUGAUGCAGCAAUGCCGCGCGAGUGAUGAACGCCUUCGGGUCGUAAAGCUCUUUGAUUAGGGAUGAUAAUGACAGUACCUGAUAAACACGACACGGCUAUCUACGUCCCAGCAGCCGAGGUAAUACGUAGGUGGCGAGCGUUGUCCGGAAUUACUGGGCGUAAAGGAUGCGUAGGUGGAUACUUAAGUGGGAUGUGAAAUCCCCGGGCUCAACCCGGGAACUGCAUUCCAAACUGGGUAUCUAGAGUGCAGGAGAGGAAAGCGGAAUUCCUAGUGUAGCGGUGAAAUGCGUAGAUAUUAGGAGGAACACCAGUGGCGAAGGCGGCUUUCUAGACUGUAACUGACACUGAGGCAUGAAAGCGUGGGUAGCAAACAGG